rnacentral:lncRNA from 1 species
CGGGGUUGCUCUGGGAAGCCAGGGGAUGGGGGUGAGAGAAAUGAUUGCACCCCCUCGUCUUUCGCUGCAGGCGGGGCCCCCAGAAGCAGCAGCGAGGCUGAGAUCGUCCGCGCGUCCCCCCCUUCUGGAGGUCCCGGGCAGCGGGGCCACUGGGCACCAUUUCAGCGCCCACGGAAGGCCCCAUCCUUCAUCGGGGGAGGGCUCCGGCAGGGGUUUGAUCUCUGGCCGCCCGAGCUUUUGUUCUCUUUGGACGGUGGCUUUAGCCCAUUCAAUGGCAUCGUUUAAGGAGAAUUCUCUGCUUUUGCUUUGGCCUAGAUCAGAACCACCAUUAAAGCCGUAGCCUGCAGGGACAGUUUCAUUUUUCAUCUCUGAAGCCCCAUGCCCUUGCAGUGAAGGUAUUUGAUAAACGUUUGUUGAAUUGAAUUGACUUGGGUAUCCUCUUCUCCUGGCUUUUGCUCUUAUUUCUUCUGCUGGAACUGCUCCCUUGCUCCCCCUUCCCCUCCCCCAGUCUCUGCCCAUCAAAAGCCCACUGUCUUUCAAGGGUCAGUAAAAAGGCUGCCUUUGUGAAGCCUUUCCCAGUCUGUGGAUCUCUUUCUCCGCUCCCUCCCUCCC